GUUAUCUGGUUUCUCACCGACUCACCCUGCAGAUUUUGUUCGUCUCCCUCUCCUUUGCCUUGCCCACCGAGAAAGAAGAGAGAGAGAGAGAAAAUUCAAGCAGGCAACCCAAAAAGAAGAGGAAAGGAUUGGAAAAGCUAGGGUUUUCGCCAUGGCCGUCGCCCACCUCGAACUCCCCUCCCUCGAAUCCACCCAUCCCACGCUCUCCUAGCUCCCGCAUCUCGCAUCUCCACAAAAAGCCGCCGCCUUCGAUUCCCCUCCCCGCUGCCUCGCCCCCAUUCGAGGGUUUCCCCUCCCCCCCCCCCUAAAUCGAAACGCAGCAUUACCGACCGAGCAAGCAACCCCCGCCACCCGUCUUCAAGGGUCCGAGCCGAGCGACGGCGCUGGCGAUCCAGCAGGGCGUGAGGGCGGCGGAGGGCGGAUAAUCAAUGUGUACGCUGUGCGCCGUGCAGCGCUGGUCGCGGCGCGUCGCCACCAUGCUCCCGUGGCUCGUCGUCCCGCUCAUCGUCAUCUGGGCCGCCACCCAGCUGCUCCUCCCGGCCGCCUACCGCUUCGAGGUCACCUCCCCGCGCCUCGCCUGCGUCUCCGUCCUCCUCCUCACCCUCUUCUGGUACGAGAUCCUCCUCCCGCGCCUCUCCCUCUGGCGCGCCCGCCGCUCUGCGCGCCUCCGCGAGGAGCGCCGCGCCCACGCCCUCGAGCUGCACAAGCUCCGCAAGACCGCAACGCGGCGCUGCCGCAACUGCAGCAACCCGUACAGGGACCAGAACCCUGGCGGUGGUAAGUUCAUGUGCUCUUACUGCGGUCAUGUCUCCAAGCGCCCCGUGCUUGACCUCAAUUCAGCCGGGAAGGCCCCCACCGGAUGGCCUUGUGCUCAGGAUUGUGGAUAUUGGCUCGACUUGCGCUGCUCCUCCGGCAAUAACAGCUCCUUCUUGGGAUUCUCCUGGCGCUUGCUUUCGUCCUUUUGCUCGACAGCAAUGAGGUGGUUAUUGAGGAAUAUAUUCAGACUUACGUCCUCAGGAGAUGGUGAGGGCUUGAGCAUAGAUGGUAAAAGGUUGGCAAAGAGAGGGGAGAAUGGAGGAAAAACCGAGGAGAGCAAGACCGAGAAGGCGAGAAGGAAGGCGGAGGAGAAGAGACUGGCAAGGCUGGAGAGAGAAAUGCUGGAGGAAGAGGAAAGGAAGCAGCGAGAGGAGAUGGCUAAGCUAGUGGAGGAACGCAGGAAGCUGAGGGAUGAAAAAGCAGAGGCCGAGGAGCGGUCAAAAAGUGCUACACCUGUCGGGGAGAAGGAUGCUAAGAGGGAGGCAGAGAAGCGGCGCCAGGAGAGGAAGAAGAAAGAGGACAAGGGGUCAAGCAAGAGCAAUUCAGAUUGUGAGGACAUUGAUAGGAGAUUGGUCCGAGAAGGCGAUAGGAAGAGAGACUUUGACAGAAAGAGUGACUUGGAUAGGCGUGAGGGUUACAAGCCUCAUUACUUUGAUUCUAACAAUCACAGUAAUAAAACAGGUGAGAGCAGAUCGAAAUACUUUGGCCGUAUGACAGGUGGUUUUUUAUCUUCUUCAAGAGGGUUUGGCAGCAGUUCAUUCUUUGGCAGAAGUGCUCAGGCCCCUGCCCCUCAAGUUAGCAAGGUUAGUAGACCUGUAGUUCCUGCAACUGACCAGGGUAAUACAGUCAAAAGAGAUGUCCCUCAUGCAGCCACACAAGCUACAGGCAAAUCUGCUACAGCUGGAGAAACUAGAAAUGCAUGGACUAAUUUUAAUCGACCUGUUAGUCCAAAUGUGCAUCCAUACCCUACUGGCCUUAAAAAGUCAUGGCAUCAGUUAUUUAGUCGUUCAGCAUCAGUGUCUCCUUGUCCUGACGUUACAACUUCAGCUCAUGAUAUGGUUCGGAAGGCAGAACCAAAUGGAGCUCAAAUAUACAAUGCUCAUACAUUUCUCUCUCAGUAUCCGCCUCUGGACUACAAGCCAAGUUCAAGCCAGUCUAUGCAAUUUCCAGGUUUUCCACCGCUUAAUGGAGCACCUCCCAGUAACCCACUACCUCAUUUUCCUGCUGGACAUAUGCCUUUCUAUGAUGAUGCAGAAUCAACACUACUUGAAGAACCAGAGCAAUUUGAGGACCCAUGCUAUGAUCCAGAUGCAAUUGCAUUACUUGGGCCAGUUUCAGAAUCUCUAGAUAACUUCCCGUUGGACUUAGAUUGUGGGUUUUUCUCGAGUGAUGUUGCUAAAGAGUCACAUGGGAGGCCUUCACCAAUUGAGUCUCCUCUCUCAAGAUCUCGUACGGUUGAAGAAAAGCCUAUCGAGCCCCCACACUCCUCAGUUGCAAGAGGCCCUGGUGGUUCCAUUCUACCCGAGUCUAGCAGUGAACAAGGCACAUGGCAAAUGUGGAGCACACCAUUGGUUCAGGAAAGUUUAGGUCUGCAAGGUCCUCAGAGCCAGUGGCUUCGACAAAACACAAAUCAAUUCAACCAUAGUGCCAACCUUUUCAGCAGCGGAGGCGGAGCAAUAAGUCCCCUUGGUACUGGUUUGAAUGACAGUGAUCCAUGGCUGCAGAAAGCACCUUUCCAGCAAUUGCCACCUGAUACACCAAGCCUGUUCCUUUCACAUGAAAUGCCAGGAAAAUUACACAAUGACUUGGUUUUUGGGUCUCCAAACAAAUCAGCCCGUGAACGCCCAUUUGGACCGCCUGGUUAUUUGUGGCCCAAUGCCACAAUCCUUGAACAUAUGGUCUUAUUUAUGGGGAACUGCUGUUCCAUAUUUUGCCAAGGUUCAAUGUUCUUGUAAAAAAGGAUGGAACCGGUGCUGGCGGCUCCCACAUGAGUGGGGGGGGGGUCUGGUGAAGGAAUAAGCGAGGGAGGAACUGGCGCUGAAUGGAGCUCAGGACGGUGGCGGUGGGCAUAUCCUGUCGCCGUCUGGUGGCGCACGAGUUGGCGGCGGCGUUGGCUUAUUUUCUUCAGCAAGUCCAGAUGUACAGUCACUGUGGUCAUUCCAUGAAACAUUCAAUGAAAAAGAGAGCAUAGAAUGAACAAACUUUUAUAAUAGAAGGAAGGGAAAAAGUGUGGAGCCAAGGCUUCCUUGCCUCCUCUCUCUUGUAGGGUUUUACCGUCUUUACCGAGGUGAUAAGCUGGACUGUGUUCCUUAAUGAUGCAAAAAAAGAAGAAGAUAUGGGGUCAUUUUGUUUCCUAGCACUCACCCUCACCUGUUAACAUGCGUCGAUGCACUGCAUUAGGCCUUGUUUCACCUGAUGUCAUUUUUUACCCCGGUUCCGCAUUGUUUUUGUCGCGCACAGGUGAUCCAUCCGUCCACGGCUGUAGUUAUCAACUGUGUUUCUGGGACGAUUUUGGUUUUAUAUAUCACCCGCUAACGUUCA